GCCCUUGUGGCCUAAUGGAUAAGGCAUCGGUCCCCUAAGCCGGUAAUUUCGGGUUCGAAUCCCGCCGAGGGUA
rnacentral:tRNA from 1 species